rnacentral:rRNA from 1 species
UACAGCUAUUAAGUGCGUAUGGUGGAUACCUAGGUACCAACAGCCGAAGAAGGACGUGCAAGUCUGCGAUAAGCUACGGGGAGGUGACAAGAACCUAUGAACCGUAGAUUUCCGAAUGGGGGAACCCAGCAAGAGUAAUAUCUUGUUACUUCUGCCUGAACACAUAGGGUAGAUAGAGGUAAGCGAGUGAAUUGAAACAUCUUAGUAACUCGAGGAAAAGAAAACAAAUCAGUGAUUCCCCUAGUAGCGGCGAGCGAACGGGGAUUAGCCCAAACCACUUUUAGUGGGGUUGUAGGACUACAAUGUGGGAUUAAAAAAUAUAGUUGAACAGAGUUGGAAUGCUCGGCCAAAGACGGUGAAAGCCCAGUAAGCGAAAUAUUUUUUAACCCUAGUAGCACCUGAGUAGUGCCGGACACGUGAAACCCGGUGUGAAUCUGCCAGGACCAUCUUGGCAAGGCUAAAUACUGUUGGUGACCGAUAGUGAACAAGUACAGUGAUGGAAAGGUGAAAAGAACCCCUGGCGGGGAGUGAAAUAGAACAUGAAACCGUAUGCAUACAAGCGAUCAGAGCACUAUUAAAAGUGUCAUGAUAUGCCUGUUGAAGAAUGAGCCGGCGAGUUAGUUUAUGUGGUUGGUUAAAGCGUAGUAGCUGGAGCCAUAGAGAAAUCGAGUCUUAAUAGGGCGUUUAAUCACAUGAUCUAGACCCGAACCUUCGUGAUCUAACCAUGGGCAGGUUGAAGCGUAAGUAACAUUACGUGGAGGACCGAACCGACUAAUGUUGAAAAAUUAGCGGAUGACCUGUGGUUAGGGGAGAAAUUCCAAUCGAACGAAGAGCUAGCUGGUUCUCCCUGAAAUGCGUUGAGGCACAGCGUUUGGUUAUAGUUUAUCGGGGGUAGAGCACUAUUUCGUUGCGGGCUGGGAUAACUGGUACCAAAACGAGUUAAACUCCGAAUACCGAUAAUAUUUUUCCAGGCAGUGAGACUACGAGAGAUAAGUUCCGUGGUCAAGAGGGAAACAGCCCAGAUCGUCGUCUAAGGUCCCCAAGUUACAGCUAAGUGAUAAAGGAUGUGAAACUGCUCAGACAACCAGGAGGUUGGCUUAGAAGCAGCCAUUCCUUGAAAGAGUGCGUAAUAGCUCACUGGUCAAGCGGUUUUGCGCCGAAAAUCUAAGGGGCUAAGCUGUACACCGAAGACACGGGUUGCAUUUGCAGCGGUAAGGGAGCGUUUUGUAAGCCAUUGAAGUAUGACCGUAAGGACAUAUGGAGGUAUCAAAAGUGAGAAUGUCGGCAUAAGUAGCGAAAAGAGGAGUGAGAAUCUCCUCCACCGAAAUCCUAAGGGUUCCCACGUCAAGUUCGUCUACGUGGGGUUAGUCUGGACCUAAGGUGAGGCCGAAAGGCGUAGCCGAUGGAUAGCAGGUUGAUAUUCCUGCACUAGUUAAUAAUCGUUAUUAUCAAAGUCGUGACGCAGUAGGCUAUAUUGCGGGGGUUAUUGGAUUCCCCUCCAAACACGUAGCUUGAGAGCGUAGGUAAAUCCGCGUUCUUUUAUGUGAGGUGUGAUGGUAAGGAACUACGGUUCCAAAGUAGUAGAUGCCACACUGACUAGAAAACCGGCGUUGAGAGAUUAUUAGCUACCAGUACCCGAAACCGACACAGGUAGGAUGGCAGAGAAUGCUAAGGUGCGCGAGAUAACCCUCUUUAAGGAACUCGGCAAAUUACUUCCGUAACUUCGGGAGAAGGAAGGCCACAUUAUUGUGAAAGCCCUGCGGCUGGAGCAUGAAGUGGUGACACAAAACAGGCCCAAGCAACUGUUUACCAAAAACACAGCUCUGUGCAAAUUCGUAAGAAGAAGUAUACAGGGUGACGCCUGCCCGGUGCUGGAAGGUUAAGGGGAGAGGUUAGCUUCGGCGAAGCUUUGAACUAAAGCCCCAGUGAACGGCGGCCGUAACUAUAACGGUCCUAAGGUAGCGAAAUUCCUUGUCAGGUAAGUUCUGACCCGCACGAAAGGCGUAAUGAUUUGGGCACUGUCUCAAAGAGGGACUCGGCGAAAUAGGAUUGUCUGUGAAGAUACGGACUACCUGCACCUGGACAGAAAGACCCUAUGAAGCUUUACUGUAGCCUGGAAUUGGCUUCGGGCUUCGCUUGCGCAGGGCCUAUCGUGACUGGGAAAC